rnacentral:rRNA from 1 species
GAUGAACGCUGGCGGCGUGCCUAAUACAUGCAAGUCGAGCGAACAGACGAGGAGCUUGCUCCUCUGACGUUAGCGGCGGACGGGUGAGUAACACGUGGAUAACCUACCUAUAAGACUGGGAUAACUUCGGGAAACCGGAGCUAAUACCGGAUAAUAUAUUGAACCGCAUGGUUCAAUAGUGAAAGACGGUUUUGCUGUCACUUAUAGAUGGAUCCGCGCCGCAUUAGCUAGUUGGUAAGGUAACGGCUUACCAAGGCGACGAUGCGUAGCCGACCUGAGAGGGUGAUCGGCCACACUGGAACUGAGACACGGUCCAGACUCCUACGGAAGGCAGCAGUAGGGAAUCUUCCGCGAUGGGCGAAAGCCUGACGCAGCAACGCCGCGUGAGUGAUGAAGGUCUUCGGAUCGUAAAACUCUGUUAUUAGGAAAGAACAAAUGUGUAAGUAACUAUGCACGUCUUGACGGUACCUAAUCAGAAAGCCACGGCUAACUACGUG